rnacentral:tRNA from 1 species
CAUAGUGCAGUGGUAGCACGCCAAUCUCCGAAGUUGGAGGUGUAGGUUCGAUUCCUACUGC